rnacentral:rRNA from 1 species
GACGAACGCUGGCGGCGUGCUUAACACAUGCAAGUCGAACGGAAAGGCCCUGCUUUUGUGGGGUGCUCGAGUGGCGAACGGGUGAGUAACACGUGAGUAACCUGCCCUUGACUUUGGGAUAACUUCAGGAAACCGGGGCUAAUACCGGAUAGGAGCUCCUGCUGCAUGGUGGGGGUUGGAAAGUUUCGGCGGUUGGGGAUGGACUCGCGGCUUAUCAGCUUGUUGGUGGGGUAGUGGCUUACCAAGGCUUUGACGGGUAGCCGGCCUGAGAGGGUGACCGGCCACAUUGGGACUGGGAUACGGCCCAGACUCCUACGGGAGGCAGCAGUGGGGAAUAUUGCAUAAUGGGCGGAAGCCUGAUGCAGCAACGCCGCGUGCGGGAUGACGGCCUUCGGGUUGUAAACCGCUUUCGCCUGUGACGAAGCGUGAGUGACGGUAAUGGGUAAAGAAGCACCGGCUAACUACGUG